rnacentral:rRNA from 1 species
AACGAACGCUGGCGGCAUGCCUAACACAUGCAAGUCGAACGAGACCUUCGGGUCUAGUGGCGCACGGGUGCGUAACGCGUGGGAACCUGCCCUUAGGUUCGGAAUAACUCCCCGAAAGGGGUGCUAAUACCGGAUAAUUUCUUCGGACCAAAGAUUUAUCGCCUUUGGAUGGGCCCGCGUUGGAUUAGCUUGUUGGUAGGGUAAAAGCCUACCAAGGCGACGAUCCAUAGCUGGUCUGAGAGGAUGAUCAGCCACACUGGGACUGAGACACGGCACAGAAUACUACGGGAGGCAGCAGUGGGGAAUAUUGGACAAUGGGCGAAAGCCUGAACAAGCAAUGACGCGUGAGUGAUGAAGGCCUUAGGGUUGUAAAGCUCUUUUAACCGGGAUGAUAAUGACAGUACCGGGAGAAUAAGCACCGGCUAACUCCGUG